rnacentral:rRNA from 1 species
AGAACGAACGCUGGCGGCAUGCCUAAUACAUGCAAGUCGAACGAACUCUUCGGAGUUAGUGGCGCACGGGUGCGUAACGCGUGGGAAUCUGCCCUUGGGUUCGAAUAACAGUUGGAAACGACUGCUAAUACCGGAUGAUGACGAAAGUCCAAAGAUUUAUCGCCCAGGGAUGAGCCCGCGUAGGAUUAGCUAGUUGGUGAGGUAAAGGCUCACCAAGGCGACGAUCCUUAGCUGGUCUGAGAGGAUGAUCAGCCACACUGGGACUGAGACACGGCCCAGACUCCGUACGGGAGCAGCGAGUAGGGAAUAGUUAGGACAAGUGGGACCGAAAGCCUAGACGUCCAGCAAGUGCCGGCGUGAGUCGAGUACGGAA